UGUAUUACAAACUUGAUCAUAAUUUUUCGACGUAAGAUUAACAAGACAAAAUUUAUAUUUAUUCUCAAUCUUUAGAAAUAGUAACUGCUAUAAAAAUAUAUAUAAAUAACAUGGAUCUUUGCAAAGAAGAAAGGUUAAGUGAAAUUAAAAGAUUGUCAGAAAAGCUUAUAAAAAUUAUUGAGCUGGAUGAGGAAAAGUUGAUAUCGGCUGAUCAAAAAAUAAAAAAUUUACGGAAUGAGAAAUCAAAAUUAAAAGAAACAUUGGAAACUCAAGUUGCUUUAUGAUCAAAUUAAAUCUACAAAUCGGAAUGUUCGACAACAGUUCGGAUCAAGAGGGAGAGGACAUUAUUCUCGAGGAAACUAUAAUAAAUAACAAAUAUAGUAAAUUUAUAUGUAUCGAAAAAAUCAAAACAUAAAUAUAAAACUUAAUUAUCAA